GCAGAGCUGAAACACUGGUUCUCAUACAAUCACUGAAGUUAAGCAAUGUUGAGACUAGCCACUACCUAGAUAGGUGACUGCUUGGGAAUGCCAUGUGCUGUAAG